rnacentral:piRNA from 1 species
UCUAGCUAAAGGUUUAUCUAUCUUG